rnacentral:rRNA from 1 species
GCAAGUCGAACGGCAGCACGGACUUCGGUCUGGUGGCGAGUGGCGAACGGGUGAGUAAUGUAUCGGAACGUGCCCAGUAGCGGGGGAUAACUACGCGAAAGCGUAGCUAAUACCGCAUACGCCCUACGGGGGAAAGCAGGGGAUCGCAAGACCUUGCACUAUUGGAGCGGCCGAUAUCGGAUUAGCUAGUUGGUGGGGUAACGGCUCACCAAGGCGACGAUCCGUAGCUGGUUUGAGAGGACGACCAGCCACACUGGGACUGAGACACGGCCCAGACUCCUACGGGAGGCAGCAGUGGGGAAUUUUGGACAAUGGGGGAAACCCUGAUCCAGCCAUCCCGCGUGUGCGAUGAAGGCCUUCGGGUUGUAAAGCACUUUUGGCAGGAAAGAAACGUCGCGGGUUAAUACCCCGCGGAACUGACGGUACCUGCAGAAUAAGCACCGGCUAACUACGUGCCAGCAGCCGCGGUAAUACGUAGGGUGCAAGCGUUAAUCGGAAUUACUGGGCGUAAAGCGUGCGCAGGCGGUUCGGAAAGAAAGAUGUGAAAUCCCAGAGCUUAACUUUGGAACUGCAUUUUUAACUACCGGGCUAGAGUGUGUCAGAGGGAGGUGGAAUUCCGCGUGUAGCAGUGAAAUGCGUAGAUAUGCGGAGGAACACCGAUGGCGAAGGCAGCCUCCUGGGAUAACACUGACGCUCAUGCACGA